GCAUAGCAUGGCAUAAUAAGCAAACGUAGAAGUAACUCCCAGGGUUUGAUAAUAAAACAGGUAAUAGGUACUACCUCAACUACUUCCCAUCCCACAAUUUAAUUAGAUCCUAAUCAUGCAAUGUUUGAGGGUAGAUAUAGUGCAUAAAAACUGGGUAGGAAAAGUAUAUGAUCAAAGUGUUACUUGCCUUGCUGAUGAUCCGCAAAACCUAGAGACUCGAAGUAACAGGCGGCGCACUUCGGGUAUUCUAUCGCGGACAAACAAACAAACAAAUAAUAAGUACUCAUCUAAUGCACAGGUAAAACUCGAAUAAAAGAUCUAACCAGAAUGUUCAACUUAAGAACUCUGGUUUGCAAAAAGAACCAAAUCAAACAAAGCAACGAAAGUCAAACGGCGAAAGAAAACAGCUUCGUUUUACUAAUCUGGAUCUAAGUCAAAUUUUACAGAAGCAAAAACUUUUUUAAGUUGAUUACUCGGAAAGAGGGUUUCGAGACGAAACUCCAGGCGCUUGAAUCGCCUGAUUCAGAUAAACGAGCGAAAAGUUAUACUAAAACGAAAAUCGAAUCAGGAAUCGCGAUCAGAAAAAUCGCGGAUUAAAUCCGAGAAAAGAAAAAUGACGAACAGGCUGACGAACGAACGUUCGUUGACUAAACAGAUCUGACGAGUACGUUCGUUAAAACGAACGAACGAACGAACGCUCGCUAACUAACCGAACCAAGAAAAACUAAUCUAAUAAAAUAAACCGAAAAAAAACGAAGAAAAACCGCUCGGUUUUUAUAAAAAAACGGCGACACGCGAAUCGAGGUGGCAGCGAACCUCGGCGGCGGCGGCGGCGAAGUCCGGCGAUGCUCCGGCGACGGCGGCGGAGUCCGGCGGCGGCUGGUGGUGGCUAGGGUUGGCUGACGGGCCUGGAGGGGCUCGGGGCGGCGCUAUUUAAAGGCGCCCCCGGGCGGAGUCCCGCUCGGGCACGGCCCAAAGGCGGUUCACGUUUUUUUAAAUAAUUCCGCGCAAAAGAAAAAUAAAAAGAAAUACUAAACGGUCUCCAAAAUUCCCAAAAUAAAUUUUCCCCGGCUUCAAAAAUCAAGCCGGACAAGGUGAACAUUUAUUUGGGGCCUAAAUGCAAUUUUGAAAAACGCACAUUUUUCCUAAAUUCAAAUAAAAGGCGAAAAACUCCAAAAUAAAUCUUAUUUGAUUUUUUUAUUAAAUCUUUAUUAUCUCUUUAUUUUGGGUAAGUCAUUUUAUUCCCUCUCGGAACUUUUAGUAGUAGAAAUAAUUGAAGAUAAAAUAAAUAAAAUCAAUGAUCCUAUUUUCAAAAUUUGAGAAAAACUCAAAUAAGAAAAUAACGAAAUCCCCAACUCUCUCCGUGGGUCCUUGAGUUGCAUAGAAUUUCUAGGAUCGAGCCAACGAUGCAACAAAAAUAUGAUAUGCAAUGAUGAUCUAUGUAUAACAUUCUAAAUUGAAAAUUUGGGAUGUUACAAACCUACCCCCCUUAAGAUGAAUCUCGCCCUCGUGAUUCGGGUUGGCUAGCAAAUAGGUGAGGGUGGUCCUUGAGCAGAUCUUCCUCUCGCUCCCAGGUGGCUUCCUCCUCGGUGUGGUGGCUUCAUUGAACUUUGCAAAACUUGAUAACCUUACUGCGGGUAACUCGACUGGCAUAAUCCAGAAUUCUAACUGGUUUCUCUUCAUAAGUCAAAUCAUCCUUCAACUGAAUUGCUUCCACUGGCAUUGUAUCUCUUAGUGGUAUAUCAGCCAUCUCUGCAUGACACUUCUUCAACUGAGAAACAUGGAACACAUCGUGAACUCCUGACAAUCCCUCAGGUAAUUCCAACUUGUACGCUACUUCUUCCAUGCGUUCCAAAACUUUGUAUGGCCCCACAAAACGUGGUGCUAACUUCCCUUUAACUCCGAAAUGCUUAACUCCUCGAAGUGGAGAUACUCGAAGAUAAACUCUGUCUCCGACUUCAUAUUCUGUCCCCUUGCGUUUUGAAUCUGCAUAGCUCUUCUGUCUUGACUGAGCUACCUUGAGCCUGUCGCGGAUCAGUUUUACCUUCUGUUCAGACUCCUUAAUCAAAUCCGGUCCAAACAACUGGCGAUCUCCUACCUCAUCCCACAACAACGGGGUUCUGCACCUCCUUCCGUACAAGGCUUCGAAAGGGGCCAUCUUCAAACUGGAUUGAUAAAUAUUGUUGUAAGAAAACUCCGCGUAUGGCAAGUUGUCAUCCCAACUUGAUCCAUAAUCCAAAACACAAGCUCUAAGCAUAUCCUCCAAAAUCUGAUUGACUCUCUCGGUCUGUCCAUCUGUCUGUGGAUGGAAAGCUGUGCUAAACUCCAGCCUGGUUCCCAAUGUUUCGUGCAACUGUUUCCAGAACUUUGAGGUGAAUUGGGUUCCUCUAUCUGAUACGAUACUCCUCGGAACUCCAUGCAAACAUACAAUCCUUGUCAUGUAUAUCUUAGCCAAUUUGGCACCGCUGUAGGUAGUCUUUACUGGGAUGAAAUGAGCUACCUUUGUCAAACGAUCGACUACAACCCAAAUUGAGUCAUAGCCUGAACGAGUCCUGGGCAAUCCCGUGAUGAAAUCCAUGCCUAGUUUGUCCCACUUCCAUUCUGGUAUAGGCAAUGGCUGCAACAAUCCGGCUGGCUUCUGGUGUUCUGCUUUCACCCUCUGACAUACAUCACAAACUGCUACAUACUCUGCAAUAUCCUUCUUCAUUCCGGUCCACCAGAAAGUUUCCUUCAAAUCCAAAUACAUCUUGGUAUUCCCGGGGUGAAUCGAAUAUGGUGAAUCAUGUGCCUCUUGCAGAAUCAACUUCCUGAUCUCCGGGUCAUUUGGCACGUAAACACGGUCCUCAAAUCGUAGGGUAUCGUACUCAUCCUCACGAAAUCCCUUAGCCUUCCCUUCGCUCAUUUUCCUUUAUAGAGGCAACUUCCUUAUCUGUUUUUUGAGCUUCUCUGAUUUUACCCAUCAACGUAGACUGAAUCUCCAUGGCUGCUACAUAGCCUCUCGGAACUAUUUCCAAACAUAGAUCAUGAAGAUCCUCGGCUAACUCCUUGGGUAUUCCUCCCAUCAUUAGUGUAUUGACGUGGCUCUUACGGCUCAACACGUCUGCUACAACGUUAGCCUUCCCGGGGUGAUAAUGCAAUCUUAUAUCAUAAUCCUUAAUAAGCUCCAACCAUCUUCUCUGCCUGAGAUUUAACUCCUUCUGCGUGAAGAUGUACUUCAAACUCUUGUGAUCCGUGUACACCUCACAAUGAUUCCCAAUGAGAAAAUGUUGCCACAUUUUCAGUGCGUGCACCACGGCUGCUAACUCCAAAUCAUGAGUGGCAUAAUUCAGCUCAUGAGGCUUAAGUUGUCGUGAAGCAUACGAAACAACUCUUCCCUCAUGCAUAAGCACUGCUCCAAGUCCUCGACGUGAAGCGUCGCAAUACACUUCAUAAUCCUUAGUCUGAUCUGGCAGAAUUAAUACAGAUGAGGUAACCAAACGUUUUUUCAAUUCCUGGAAACUAGCCUCACACUCCUCAGUCCAAAUAAACUUAGUAUCCUUCUUCAACAACUCUGUCAUAGGCUUCGCAAUCUUCGAGAAAUUUUCAAUAAAUCUCCGGUAGUAUCCUGCGAGUCCAAGGAAACUCCGGAUUUCUCCAACUGUUGUUGGUGCUUCCCAGUUUGUCACAGUGACAACUUUAGUGGGGUCUACUACGAUACCUUCUCCGGAUAUAACAUGUCCGAGAAAUCCAACUUCUUUCAACCAAAACUCACACUUGCUGAACUUGGCGUAUAGCUGAUGUUCUCUGAGCUUCUCGAGUACCAUACGCAAGUGUUCCUUAUGUUCCUCUUCAUUCUUCGAGUAAAUCAAAAUAUCAUCAAUGAACACCAUGACGAACUUAUCCAAAAACUCCAUAAACACCUUAUUCAUCAUGUUCAUAAAAUAGGCUGGGGCGUUAGUCAGACCAAAUGACAUAAUUGUAUAUUCAUACAGCCCAUACCUGGUGGUAAAAGCCGUCUUCGGUAUAUCUUGCUCCCGAAUCUUCAACUGAUGGUAUCCUGAUCGCAAAUCAAUCUUGGAAAACACCUUAGCUCCUUGCAACCGAUCAAACAGAUCAUUGAUCAUUGGUAGUGAGUACUUGUUCUUGAUUGUUACUUCAUUCAAUCCGCGAUAAUCAACAACCAUUCUUAACGACCCAUCCUUCUUCUCCACCAGAAGUACUGGCGAUCCCCAAGGCGAAGAACUUGGGCAAAUAAAACUUUUAUCCAACAGCUCCUUAAUCUGCUUCUUAAUUUCCUCCAAAUCUUGGGCUGGCAUCCUGUACGGUCUCUUGGAUAUCGGCCCCGUGCCUGGAAGUAGUUCAAUUAAGAACUCAAUGUCUCUAUCCGGUGGCAUGCCUGGCAACUCUUCUGGAAAUACAUCGGGGAAAUCCUUUACCACUGGUACUUCCUCCUGCACAACUCCUGAUAAGGAAUUUACGUGUGCUCUCCUCGGCUCAUGCCGUGAUACAUACUUGAUUCUUAUUCCUUCUGGUGUUGUAAGCAAAAUUGUCUUGCUGGCGCAAUCAAUGUUUCCUCCAUACAUCGACAGCCAAUCCAUACCAAGAAUUACAUCCAAACCUUGGGAUUCCAAUAUAAUUAAAUCCGUUGGGAAAGCAUGCCUUCCUAUACUUAAUGGCACCUGAAAGCAUCCUUGACUGACCAUAAACUCGGCUCCCGGUGAACUUACUAGCAUGGGUGUCUUAAGAGUCUUAGUGGGCAGGCUAAACUUAUCCACAAAUCCCCUUGAUAUGUAUGAAUGCGAUGCACCAGUAUCGAAAAGAACAACUGGAGUAAAUGCCUUAACCAAAAACUUACCUAUUACUGCGUCUGGCUGGGCUUCAACCUCCUCCACGGUAACGUGGUUCACUUGCCCCCUGUUGAAAGGGUUCGGCUUCUUUCCUGAGCUUUCAUUGCCAUUUCCAUUUUGGGCUUCUGGGCAAUCAUUUGCAUAAUGCCCAGUCUUACGGCACUUAUAACAGGUGAUAUGGCUCAGGUCUGCCUUGGAUGGUGUUGACGGGUUGGUGCGGUUUUGUCCAUUGCUUCCUCCAUUUCCGUUUCCAUUCUUUGUGCCAUUAUGAUUGUGCGAGCUGCCUCCUCCAUGAGUAUGCUGAAAGUGUCCCCUGACUUUGGGGUAAAACGUGGCUUCUGCUGAGCUCCAGAAUUGUACUUCCCCUGUGCAUACUUCCUCUUACGAUUGUCAAUCUGCUGCUGCUUUCCUUCAAUCAUAAGCGCACGAUCUACUAACUCCUGGUAGUUAUUGAAAGUGGCUACCAUCAACUGCAUGCUCAUUUCAUCAUUCAGUCCUUCUAGAAACUUCUCCUACUUAGUUGCAUCCGUAGCAACGUCAUCUAGGGCAUAACGUGCUAGAUUACUAAAAUCAUCCACAUACUGGCCAACUGUCCGUCCUCCUUGGCGUAAGUUGCAAAACUCACGCUUCUUCAUGGCCAUAGCUCCUACUGAAACAUGGGCAGUACGAAAAGCUUGCUGAAACUGAUUCCAUGUGACAGUGUCUACAGGGUAAGUGGCUGUAAAAUUCUCCCACCAUGCUGCUACGGGUCCGUCAAGCUGAUGUGCGGCAAACUUCACCUUUUCUCCAUCCGUGCAUCCUGCAGUGGUCAACUCCCUUCCUAUCUUACGGAGCCAAUCAUCUGCUACUAUCGACUCGGUGCUACUGGAAAACACAGGCAGAUUCAACCUUAAGAAACGUGCCAGAUGGUCAACAGGUGGUGUGGUGGUGGGUUGUUGUUGUUGCUACCUUGGUUCUGUACCAAUGUUUGAAUCAAGGUAUUCUGCUGCUGAAUCAACUGAGUGAUCUCUGGCGGAAAAACAAACUCGGGGUCGCGUCUCGGAGGCAUCUGAGGGUUUAAAGGGGAGAGUUAAGAAUAGAAUGAGGUCUAGUGAGAUACACUACCCAUAUACACAUGAGACAAAACACACAAUAUCAUUCCAAUCAAUUCAAACAAGGGCAUACAACGGUCUAACUAUCGUUACAAAAGUGCUUGCACUAAAACUAAUUAAAUGGUGGAAAAUUCUACUACUGUUAUGGUGGUCAACUAGAAAAACUGCUCCGAUGAAGAUUCCAUGAUAUCUGCUCCAGCUUCAUCAACAUAAUCAUCAUCGCUGUCGUCAGGAUCCGAGUCGGUGUCGUCAAUGAUGAUAUAAUUAUUUGGGCAAGUAGGUUCAUCCUCUUCCUCUCUGGGUGCUGAUCCUCCCAUGAAUACUCCAAUCUUCUCCUUAAGGUCACCGUUCUAUCUUACUAGAGCGACGAUUUCUUCCAUAUAGUCCUUACAUGUAGCCUUGAGUUCUGCUUCUAGCUCCUUGAUCCUGGUCAUAGCCUUCUGUAGUUCCUCCAUAUCUGCGCACAUCUGAUUCUCCUGGCGUCGGAUGUGUUGGUUUAACUCCUGAAUAUAAGCUGCGAUUGAUCGGUCCUUCCUGGUGGUGAUCAUCUCCCAAUGCUCAUCUCGGCGCCCACAAAUCUGGUAGAUAGUAUUCUUAAGAUCGUUGUAGUAAACUUCUCCAAUUCGUCCCAUGGCGAUGUGAGCUGCCAUGCUUUUUCCUAGGCUCCAUGUUGGUACAUCAAAGGUAAACUCUAUUGGCUCCGUGACUGGUGCAAAUGUCCUUCCUGGAAUGUAGACUUGAAUCAUCCAGCGCUCCUCUUCGGGUAAAGUGGCGUUGAAAGUCCUGGUGAAGCUUGGUACUCCUAUGUUCAGGUAUCUAGUGGCUUCCUUCAAGUGACAUCCAAAAGGUGAAUUCUCAUCUGGUUGUGCGAACUUGAUCCUUGCAUCCGCCAUCCUAAAGAAUAGAAAAGAUGAGGAGUCAGAAAGGGAAAGAAAGAGUAGUGAUCUAGGGCUUUAGCUUAGUGGCCGUGUCCUACAGUCAGCGUGUGCUCUGAUACCACCUUGUAGCGACCAGACCUCAAACAGUCUGACCUCUAUGCUCAGUGCCAUCCCUGAAUCAGUAAUGCUGACACCACACAGUACUUGGAGGAUUUAUAACAGAGUAGCAAUCACACACUUAUUACAUCGAAUGUCUCAAAAGAGAACUUAUUGAAAUAAAUAUGGCUUAAGGCCAUCUAAAAACGAUAACAGCGGAAGACUUGGAAGAUAAGCGAGUCCAUCAACUCCAACGGCAUCACUGAGUAUAGAACCACGACCUAAAAGCACCUUACUCGUCGUCUGAAAAGUCUACAACAUGAAACGUUGCAGCCCGAAAACGGGUUAGCACAUGGAAUAUGCUGGCAAUGUAACACAUAGAGAAUAACAAUGGAAUAAGCUACACUACAUGCUAUUUGGCUGGUGUAAAAGCUCUAUGGUUACAGUUUUGCAUAAAGCCAAAUUUUCCCUAGUGCAAAGGAAUAAAUUUAUUUAACUAUCAUGAUGGUUGUUAAACAUUGAGAAUGGUUGACAGCAUUCUCAAUCCCAAUUAAAAAUACUCAUUAAACCCAACAAUAUUAAAUUAGAGUAACAUGAUGAGAUUCACAUGAUAUCCAGGUACUAGAUACUCAAAACGUCCAUAACCGGGGACACGGCUAACCAUGAUUAGUUUAUACACUCUGAAGAUGUUUGCGCACUUUUCCCCACAAGACUCGAUCGCCUCUGUUUGAUUCCUCGCACUACAUGAUGUUUGAGAAAUGGAUGACCGAGACACAGUCUUUCGGAAGCGCUAGCACCUUACAUGUGGGUAGACCGGUACACCUACUUUUCCCUACAUCUGCUAGUCUACCCGUAAGAGUUUGCACAACUUAGUCAACUAUGCCAGAGCCCAUAAUGGCUUGUGGCUGCACACGUAAGUUUCUAGUUUGAAUAAUCUCAUGAUCCCUUUGAGCCUGGGUGGCGGUCCGAAGAAAUACAGGCAAGUCCUGAUAGAAACCAGGUGCCUCAAUCCACCCAGAUGUAUGUUUAAGUUGCCACCUUAAAUAAACCAUUGAUUAACAAUCUCACAUCUGUCAUGGAUACACUCACCCAAUCCACGUCUACUAGCAUAGCAUGGCAUAAUAAGCAAACGUAGAAGUAACUCCCAGGGGUUUGAUAAUAAAACAGGUAAUAGAUACUACCUCAACACUUCCCAUCCCACAAUUUAAUUAGAUCCUAAUCAUGCAAUGUUUGAGGGUAGAUCUAAUGCAUAAAAACUGGGUAGGAAAAGUAUAUGAUCAAAGUGUUACUUGCCUUGCUGAUGAUCCGCAAAACCUAGAGACUCGAAGUAACAGGCGGCGCACUUCGGGUAUU
rnacentral:lncRNA from 1 species